AGCAGCCGCGGUAAUUCCAGCUCCAAUAGCGUAUAUUAAAGUUGUUGCAGUUAAAAAGCUCGUAGUUGAAUUUCGGGAUUAGUACGUCGGUCGUGCCUUCGGUACGUACUGGUGUUACUGAUUCCUACCUUCUGACGAACCAUCAUGUCAUUAAUUUGGUGUGGCGGGGAAUCAGGACUGUUACUUUGAAAAAUUAGAGUGUUUAAAGCAGGCUCGCGCUUGAAUACAUUAGCAUGGAAUAAUGAAAUAGGACGUUGACCCUAUUUUGUUGGUUUCUAGGAUUGACGUAAUGAUUAAUAGGGAUAGUUGGGGGCAUUAGUAUUCAAUUGUCAGAGGUGAAAUUCUUGGAUUUAUUGAAGACUAACUACUGCGAAAGCAUUUGCCAAGGAUGUUUUCAUUAAUCAAGAACGAAAGUUAGGGGAUCGAAGACGAUCAGAUACCGUCGUAGUCUUAACCAUAAACUAUGCCGACUAGGGAUCGGAUGAUGUUAUUUUUAAUGACUCAUUCGGCGCCUUACGGG
rnacentral:rRNA from 1 species